GGUGUGCCAUGUAUUGGGGUGCAGAGUGUAUUGGGGGGCACAGGGACUGGGGUGUGCCAUGUAUUGGGGUGCACAGGGAUGGGUGUGCUGUGUAUUGGGUUGUACACUGGGGUGUGUGAGGUAUUGGGGUGCACAGGGAGUGGGGCAUGUGCUCUAUUGGGGUGCACAGGGAUGGGUGUGCUGUGUAUUGGGUUGUACACUGGGGUGUGUGAGGUAUUGGGGUGCACAGGGAGCAGGGGGUGCCAUGUAUUAGGGUGCACAGUGUAUUGGGGUGCACAGGGAGCAGGGUGUGCCAUGUAUUGGGGUACACAGUGUAUUGGGGUCUCUCAUGUAUUGGGGUGCACAGGGAUGGGUGUGAGGUAUUGGGGUGCACAGUGUAUUGGGGUACCCACUGUAUUGAGGUCUAUCAUGUCUGGGGGUACACAGAGAAUUGGAGUGCCCGGUGUAUUGGGGUGCCCUGUGUACUGGGGUCUAUCAUGUACUGGGGUGCAGUGUAUGGGGUGUGAUGUAUUGGGGUGCCCAGUGUAUUGGGGUCUAUCCUGUC